GGAACCACAAAGUGCCAAGAGACAGGUGGCAAAUAUCAUUAUCAUUUUAGAGAGGAGAAAAAGUGAGCUGCGGAAAGGUCAGAUGUCUUGUUCAAAGUGACACAGAAUGGAGUAGAGCCUGAAAUUAUUAACUUCUGUUUUCUAAUCUAGUGGACUUAAGGUCAUCGAAUCCAACCAGGAAGGUCAAGGUAUCAGUUUUAUGUCACUCAGCAUCAUUGCCUCUGCUCUUUUGUCCUCUCACCUGGGAGCCACUUGAUGACUUCAGCCACAGCAGCUAUCCCUAUCCUGGGAAACCAGAUUCUGAAACUAGACACUCUAUUAAAAACUAGUGCUGUGACUAACUACAAGAUUAAGACCCCCUUCCCUCUAGGAUACUCAAUAGUUUUUGUUGAACCUUUGUUUUCCUCGAUGGCUUGGUAAUCUCUUCAAAAGGCCUUCUGGUGGCUCAUACCUGGAAACUUGCUCUAAGGCUAAAUAUUAAAAUAUGUCUCCAGGGUCAACAAAGCAUAUAUACUACAUAUUAGUUACUAUACUCUGUCCUGAGACUGUAGUUUCUAUAGUACUGUGCUAAUGUGUGGCACUACAUUUGAACAAAAGAAUUGACCACCCCUAAAAUGGUGUCUCAUGAAAAGAGCUGUGUAGUGAUUAAGUACCAUCAUUUCUGUUUGCCUCUACAGUGUUCCUGCUAUUGAUCAUGACUUCCUUUAGAUUCUCAUUUUGGCUCACAGACCACACCCUUGACUCUCUAAUAUCUAUACCUUUCCUUCUUCCAUAUCUGUCUACCAUCUAUCAGAUGUAGUGUUAAUUCUAAAAAAUGGAGCUUUGUGGAAGUUAUGAAAUGAUGUGAGAACAAUAAAACUCAUAUCCUAAUACAGGAACUUGAUCUGAUUUUACUACUGAGAAAAAUUAGAGAACAUUUAUAUAUAACAGGAGCAGCAAUGUAACUCAGUGGGUAAAUGUGUUUGCCUAUCAUGACUGAUUGCCAGGCAUCAUUCCUCAGGAAUCACAUGGAAAAGGAAAGACCCAAGACCUGCAAAGUUUACCUCUACACAUACACUGUGGCACAUCCACAACACAUAGUGAAUAAAAUGUAAGAAGAUUAUAUAUCAAAGAUUGUAUAUGACAAAUUUGAAAACACUUAGGAUGCAGUUCUGUUUUAACCUUCAGUUCUUUCUUCUUGAAGAUGGUGAGAAACUUUAUUUUCUGAGAUAAAAUGUAUUUGUUAUGGCUCAUAUAUGUGGUUAUUAUUUUCCUAUUGGUAAACAUUUACAUAUUUUGCAGGAAUGCAUUGCCUCUCUCUUUGAGUAUUUUCAUUCCCAAGUUCUACAUGAGGUGAUCCCUAAAAGGGCAUACUGCACAAGUGAAGGGAUUGACAUCACAAGGCUUUCCACACUUCUGGUGCCAGAUGUCCACAUAGCUGCAAUCCACCUAUUCUUCUUCCUGGAAAACUUCAAACCAGUUAUUCAUUCAAGGAUAGAAACACGAAGCUGCUGCAUCAAGAAGCAAAUUCCGGAGUGGAAUUGUGGGCUCCUUGUACCUAAGCUCCAUGUACCUACCUUCACUUGUGGGCCCAGGCCAACGAGAAAGUACAUCCAACUCUCUAGUACUUGUUCAGUUCCUAAAAUAUGCACACGCUCUCCCCAGUCAACUUGCACCAGAUGUUUGUUCUCUCAGACUUGAGUCUUUGAGGAGAUAGGCUUAAUGUUAGAGGUCUAGGGGCUCCCUAGGCAAACCUGCCCCAUAGUUCUGUGUUCAGUAGGUGGGUAAAAAGUGAUAGAAUUGCUUUACAAAUUUCCUAGGGAAUACGUUAGUUUCGCCUUCUAACACCUUUUCUCAUUAAUUCCACUUAGGGGGAUUUAUUGGAGUUUUCAGAUGGUUCCACCAGUUGCAGACAGGUACAUAAAGGGGGGCCCCCAUAUACAUAAGUUUUUGAAUCUGUGGGACCAACAGGAAACCUUCCUUUUUAUCUUCUGAAGGUUCACAAGGAUAACCACAAAUAAAACAGGCGAAAAGACACAAAUGUCUCAAUGUGCGAAAAAGAUGGAGCCUCGCACAGUCCAAGAUUUGAAAAACAGUCAAACAUCUCAAGUUAAAUAUGAAAGAGGGCAGUGGAGAUGAAAGUCAUGUUUAGGAAGAUAGCAAAUUAAUUUUUGGGUGAUGCCAUCAGCUUGGAAAAAAUACAGUGACAUGAAACAAAAGCCUGUCUGGCCUUAGGACAGGGAAUGGUUUGUAAACUACUCUUUAUCGAAUAUCAAACAGGAUCAAAAUAGAGGGCAAUGGUAUGUGGUGAGAUUUUGUUCAGCUGUAUGCACAGACAUCUCCCCUUCGUCCUUGGAGUUUAUUUAUCCUUCUCAGUUUAAUGAAACUUUGGGAGGAUGGAGGAAGGAAAUCCUCUUUCUUUUUGUCAGAUUUGGGAACUACACAGAAUUUAUUCUUCCUGUGUUCAGAGAAGAUUAAAUAAGGGCAAAUCAGAGGUGUCUUAGAUCUUUAAUAAUUGUGUGUGUGUGUGUCUGUCUGUCUGCCUAUUUGUCUCUCUGUGCACGUAUGUAUGCGUGUGCCUCUGUGUGUGUGUGUCUCUGUAUAUGUGUGUAUGAGUGUAUCUCUCUCUCUCUCUUUGUGUGUGUGUGUGUGUGUGUGUGUGUGUGUGUAUGUGUGCAUCUGUCUGUCUGUGUGUAUGUCUCUCUCUGGGUGUAUGUGUGUGUGUUUGUGUCUGUCUGCCUAUUUGUUUCUCUGUGUAUGAGUGUGUGUCUCUCUUUGUGUGUGUGUGUUUGUCUGUCUCUCCGUCUUUGUGUGUAUGAAUAUGUCUAUGUGUAUGAGUAAGUCUGUCUGUGAGUAUGUCUGUGUGUGUGUGUGUGUGUGUGUGUGUGUGUGUGUGUGUGUGUGUGUGUGUGUGAGUGACUGUGCCUGGUCAGCCUGCUUCACCUGCCUGCACCACUCCAGUGCUGGGCUUAAGACAUAGACUGCUGCACACAGCUUUUGACUGCAGUGCUGGGCUAGAACUCAGGCCCUCAGGAUUCAACAAUGAGCACUUGACUGAGCUUCAUCCCGAGUUAUAUCUUAGGCAUUCGAAGCACUGUUUGUUAGGAAUCAUUUUCUGAGGCCUGCAGCCUCCUCUUGAUGCGGAGUGAGCAUCAGUAUGGCCCAUCUUCUAGAGUUCCACAGUCAUGCAGAGACAUGGAGGCAGGGGUUCCUGAGAUGUGGGUUUCCAGGGCUAUCUCAUGUAAGUCCCUUGCCACAGUCCCAAACAACUUGCUUCAUCCUCACACCCGUGCUCUGCUGUCUUGAUCUUGUGGGUUCACCUAGGAGUUAAGGCACUUACGGUCUCAUCCGUACGUGUAAUCAUUUGAAUUUAAUGGAAGCUAUCCCAGAAUCCCUGCUACAUGAUUUGAAGCAGGGAGGCCCCAGAGGUUUUUAAAUGAGUAAGGCUCAUGUGAAGGUGAAGGUGGUUUUCCCAAUUAUAUUCCAAGUUAGAUUUUAUAGGAAACCUUCCCAUCCAGGGCGGGAUACCAGCAUAGCCCAACAGGCUAGUGAGUGGCACAGGAUUGAGGAAUACAGUGUCAAGACCUGACCCUCCCUGGACAGAGACUCAAGAGUGAGAACCAAGCAUCAGGUUGGACCCCAGGAUUCAUCCAAGACUGGAAAUCCCAUGCAUAUCACACAGACUUUGCCUCAGGGGACCAAGGGCAACAGAAUAAAAUACAAACCACUCACAUCCUCAAUUGCAUCUGCAGCUUCCAGAGACGUCCAGGGCUAACUUUUCACUUACUUAAACUAUCACUGAGGUUUAAAAUAAUAAAAAAAAAUCUUUUGAUAUUGAUUCUUAUAAUAGACAAUGGUUUGAAAUCAAACAGCGUGGCAGGUACUUGACCCGAAUCUGCUUUGAAACAGUCGGACUGAAUUCCUGAAAGUGGGGACUGAGGGGCUUCCAGAUUUAGCCUUUGCUAUUGAGCCUGGAACAGGAAGGCUUCACCAUUGCUAUUAAUGUCUGACUUCUCAUAAGAAUGACACUGUAUCACUUUAAGGUCUUAUCUAAGAAACUAAAAAUCCUUUGUACCUUGCUCCUUUGCUUUUUCGGCAUUCUGACAUCUCCAUGAGGAACAAUUGUUCAAUAUGUAAAGUCUAAACGACUCUUUUUAUUGAAUAAAGUAUUGU
rnacentral:lncRNA from 1 species